GAUUGGUUUAAUCAUAAUAAAGAGGACAGAAAAGCCUUAUCUUCUAAGACCUGUGUUUGUUCCUUCUCUUUGCAGUGUUGUACAUGGCCCAGCCUGGCAUGGCUGCAGCUUCUCCAGGGAGUUGCACUUGAGUAGAAAGUGAACAGGUGUGCUGAGGUGCUGUGGACACUGCUGAAGGCUCGUGGAAAAAUUCAGCCUGGACUUUUCCCAGGCUGGGAUCUUUCUCAGAGACAAAACAAG
rnacentral:lncRNA from 12 species